rnacentral:lncRNA from 1 species
CUAAAAUAAAUCAAAAUUUAUUUUCUAAAAUCAGAGAAUUCUUAGAUCUAAGAUCCUAUUACAUGAUUAUUAUAUAGCAUUAAAUCAAAAAUUAAAAUAUAUAUAUACAGCAUGAACUACAUGUUGAUCAUAUCAACAUGUUUCUAUACUACAUCUAAUGUAUGUAUUAAACAAUAGAUCAGAUCUAUUACCUUGCAAGUUAGACGUUCUAACCUCACUGAUCCGGGCU